rnacentral:rRNA from 1 species
GGGCCCGCACAAGCGGUGGAGCAUGUGGUUUAAUUCGAUGCAACGCGAAGAACCUUACCUACUCUUGACAUCCAGAGAAUUCGCUAGAGAUAGCUUAGUGCCUUCGGGAGCUCUGAGACAGGUGCUGCAUGGCUGUCGUCAGCUCGUGUUGUGAAAUGUUGGUUAAGUCCCGCAACGAGCGCAACCCUUAUCCUUGUUUGCCAGCGAGUAAUGUCGGGAACUCCAGGGAGACUGCCGGUGAUAAACCGGAGGAAGGUGGGGACGACGUCAAGUCAUCAUGGCCCUUACGAGUAGGGCUACACACGUGCUACAAUGGCAUAUACAGAGGGCAGCGAGGCCAGCGAGGUGGAGCGAA